UGUCAGGCAGGGGAAGCUUCAAUAAGGCCUUCAUUCAUGACAGCUCCACUUGGCUUUUUGACGAGUCCCCAUUUAGAUGCAGCACGUCAGAGACUGAAGAGCAGGAUGAAGGCUGUAAGUACAGUUUGCUGUGGAUUAUGACUGUGUUUAAAUCUAAUAAUGGAUGAGACAAUUUACUUAAAGCAUGAUAUAGUUCAUAUUGCUCUUCAGGCUUCGUGAUAAAAUAUUAAAAUUAUGGAGUACAAAGUUGUACAUGCAAAGAAAACAAUGCAGAGCAGCAGAGCACCUGACCCAGAGGGUCUUCACAUAGAAUUCUACAAAGGCUAUUUUUUCCUGUUGGAUUAACAGCUUUGGUUGUCUUGCCCUUUAAAGAAAUUCUCACAAGAAAGAAGUUGCCUCUUACCAUGUCACAAGCAAUUAGUUUCACCCAAAAAGGAGGAGGACCCCUCUCUGCUCCCCGUGUUAAAAAACAAUACACCGCCUCACAGGCCAGAGCCACAGCCUUCUCCUCUCUGCUGGGUGGAAGAACAACUCUCACACAGUGGAAGUCCUCCAGACCCCCUGCCUUCAGACAAUAGGUUCCCUGGUUUUGGUCUACAUUCCUCGGUCCUCUGCUGUGGAGUCUACCUUCUGCUUCACCUCAUUCUGGAGUCGCCCAUCCAGUCAGCGGCCCAUGUCCCCCUGGUUCCCUGUU